AGUUAACGAGAUGCCAACCAAAUGAACGUGAUGAGGGACAACGUUUAUGAUUGUGCAAUGAGAGGCUUUUCAGAGAGCCUGCUUUAAUCCAGAGGUAAAAAUAGACAUGGUUUUUAGGGAUGCUGACGGAAAAGGGGCAGCUGAUGAGGGUGGUCCCUCAAGAGAUUUCCCCGGCUGCUAAUGAGUGCCAUCCAGUCCUCUGCAAUAUUUGAGGGACCUGAUUGGCAAAAAUGCCUUUCUUGCAACUCUCGCGCGCUCUAUGAUGGCGUAUACAAGCAGGUGGGCCACAUGACUGCUGUCUGUCUGGUACAUGGGGGUGUAGAGCCACUUUUUGUUAGAGAGGCAAGUGUGUGGUCUCUACAGGCAAGUGUGUGGCCUACAUCCUCCUGUGCCAGAACUGAAAGAAAUAGUAGAAUAUGACUUCAGAGGGAAGUUGGAGAAGUUCAAUAAACAAUCUAAGAUCCAGUUAGCACAAGCUGUUGACGAGGCACAGGAAGCGGUCAUGUUGGGUCCAGUGCGAUACAUUCGUACAUUGGAGAGGGAUGCCCUGGUGGAGUCAGCCACUAAGUUCUACUUAGAAAGCAGGAUACGGGAUGCUCUUGAGCAAUUCAAAGAGGGUCUGGAGUGUCUAGGUCUCCUGCCUUACAUGAAUAGACACUCAAGCCUCUUCAGAGAGGUUUUCAUCUACGCUGAGAAACCUCUUUUGGCCAGACAUAGCAGAGCUCAAAGCAGAGCUCUCCCCACCUGGUACCAAUCAAAGAGCAAUAGAGAGAAGAGUCAUGUUUCUGGAGGGACUGGCUGCUGGAGGUGGAAGUGGGGAACUCAUUCCCUUUAACCAUGGAGAAGAUUUUCAUUUUCACUUUGGGGGCUUCAACAUUCCUAGGCUGGGAUUGCCAGUGGAACCACAGCUACAGUUCUCUCUGCUACCGCACGGCAAGCGGUACCGGAGCGCCAAGUCUAGGUCCAAGAGGCUUCUAAACAGAUUCUACCCCCAAGUCAUAAGACUCCUGAACAUCUAAUCAAAUGACUACCCAGACUAUUUGCUGCCACUCUCUCUAUGCAUAGUCACUUUAAUAUCUCUGCCUACAUAUAUAUAUUAACUCGACUAACCAGUGUCCCCACACAUUCUCUGUACCGGUACCCCCUGUAUAUAGUCUCCACAUUGACUCUGUACCGUAAC